GACGAACGCUGGCGGCGUGCCUAAUACAUGCAAGUUGAGCGCUGAAGGUUGGUACUUGUACCAACUGGAUGAGCAGCGAACGGGUGAGUAACGCGUGGGGAAUCUGCCUUUGAGCGGGGGACAACAUUUGGAAACGAAUGCUAAUACCGCAUAAAAACUUUAAACACAAGUUUUAAGUUUGAAAGAUGCAAUUGCAUCACUCAAAGAUGAUCCCGCGUUGUAUUAGUUAGUUGGUGAGGUAAAGGCUCACCAAGGCGAUGAUACAUAGCCGACCUGAGAGGGUGAACGGCCACAUUGGGACUGAGACACGGCCCAAACUCCUACGGGAGGCAGCAGUAGGGAAUCUUCGGCAAUGGACGAAAGUCUGACCGAGCAACGCUGCGUGGGUGAAGAAGGGUUUCGGAUCGUAAAACUCUGUUGGUAGAGAAGAACGUUGGUGAGGGUGGAAAGCUCAUCAAGUGACGGUAACUACACAGAAAGGGACGGCUAACUACGUG
rnacentral:rRNA from 1 species